rnacentral:lncRNA from 1 species
ACUACUCAAGUGCAACUUACUGAAGUGGUUUUUGAGAGGAUAAACAAUGUAUUAAGAAAAAGAAGUAACGACAUUGCAAAAUAACAGAGCUUCAUUUCACUUUGAAAUGACAAACCAGUGACACGUCAAAUACCCUUCAUUUACCACAAACCUUGUAGUAUUUUUCCGCAGGAAACAAAUACAAAUGCACGUCCGUGUAGGCUAUUGCAACAGGUUUUAAUGACUAGGCGUUGACCCAUAAGAAACACCAGCUAUUUUUUUGAACAAGUGGGCGGUGUGAGUUUAUACUUCCUUUGCCUUACCACUAGAAACUGUUUAUCAUCUAAACAGGCCUUGUUUUUUAAAAGCCAAUUUUUAAAAAACAAAGAGGUAUUCGCAUUCCUCAGAAACGUUUGAGGAUGUCAUAAUAUAUGAAAAAGGUCUGUGUAAACCAUAAAAACAUGCAAGCCAGCAUCAGUAGACAUGACUGUGCAUGCUCUGAAGGAUGCAAUUAAAGGGACAGGUCACUCAAAAAUGAAACUGAGUCAUUCUCAUGGUUUCCAAACCUGAAUGACUUCAGAGACUUCAAAAAGAGACUUCAGGUAGAAUAUUAUCGACUGACAGUCAGCAUUCACUUCCAUUGUAUCUUAUGCCAUUCAAUGAAAGAUGAAUGGAGACUGGGACUCAUCUCAUUUCGUGUUUCACAGCAAAAAGAAACUCAUACAGGUUUCGAACAACAUGAGGACGAGUCAAUAAUGACGACGUUCUAAUUUUUGUGCCAUCCUUCUGAAAUACACACGCGCGCGAGCGCCCAGGUGCUUCAUUUCAGGAUCACAGACAGGGGAACCGAAACGGUCAGCAGUGCUUCCAGGAAGCGUCACCGGGGAGCACGCGCGCCGACAGACAGAGGAAUGCAGCAGCGUCCGCGACUCUCCGUCAGGCAGCCGCGAAACUAGAAGGUUCGCAGGCAGCGUGCGUGGCUCGGAGUGCGCGACGGGGUUUUUAUUUUACCGCUGUCGGCGCGAGCUGCUGCUGACGCGAUGCUUUAGCCAUGGACAGCAGGUUAAACGAGAAUCCUGCGAGAACCUUUGAUUUGGCUCUUCAGGUUGCAUGUCCAUCAUCUGAACAUGAAGACUGCUGUGUGCUGUGACUCCGUGUUGCUUCAAGUGCAUCAUUCUGUGCACGGGAUACACAUAAGCGCUUUGUGCCGCUCCAUAUAGUAGCCUUUCAUGUUAUAAUACUUUUGCGCAAUGAAAGACUCUGUUCAAUGCAAUGACAUGUUCUGUCCUGUCUGUCAUACUGUAUGUUGCUGCCUCACCACUGUGCUAUACAUUUAAAAUCAAUGCCUUUUAAUUUUAUAGCAUGUAUUUUUAUAUAUAAAUGUAUAUA